rnacentral:rRNA from 1 species
GUCCCUUCGUGUGUUUAGGAGGUCGGUGAAGUUUUAUCUUCGGCCGCGAAAUGUUGGCCGUGCGAAGGUAACGUACUCAUUAGUCCUUCUAUAGAAGGCUGGAAUAAAAGGUUUAACAAAAUAUUAACUGUCUCAUUUGUAUAAUGUAAACUUAAUUUUUAAGUUAAAAAGCUUAAAUUUUUUUGGAGGACGAGAAGUCCCUUAGGAGCUUGACUCUUACACUUUAAAACUAUUUAAUUAAUUAUUUAUAAUUGUUUGGUUACGGUGAUAAGAAAUAUAUAUUUAAUUUUUUACUUAUAACUGAUUUUUGAUCCAAAAUUAUUGAUGAAGAGAUCAAUUUACCUUAGCAGCGUAAUACAAAAUUGAUUAGAGAUAAGGACUAUUAGCGUAUUCUUCUCUUGGGGUUUUAAUUUACGAUAACGCUGGCGACCUCGACGUUGGAUUAAGAUAAUAAUUUGAUGCAGUAGCUAAAUUAAUAGAUUUGUUCGAUCCUUAAAUGUUCUGACAUGAAUCUAAGUCCAUACCGG